rnacentral:lncRNA from 1 species
UUUAGCUUUUCUUUUCCGGUUGCACAACAUAGUAUCUUUGAGGAAAUCCUUCCAUAAAGAGAAUUCCAUCUUGGCAGCAUCUUAUCUCAGUCAGUAAGUGUCCAAGGCAUAAAAAGUUUCUUUAAAAGUCGUUUGCAUGCUAAACCUUUGCAAGAAAGCUGCUCUUAAAAACCUGUCUCAGGAUUGGACUUUUUUUUUUUUAAUGUGGAGCGCUUCAUGAAUUUGUGUGUCAUCCUUUCACAGGAGCCAUGCUAAUCCUCUCUGUAUCAUUCCAGUUGUAGUAUACGUGCAGCUGAAAUGAGCAGGGGCUUGGACUGUUGGUGAGAUGUUGCUUUAUCAUGAUGUCCUUCUGAAUGGGACAAUUGAGUACCCCAGUGGAGUCAGGAUGCAUCUGCCUUUUGCUUUGCAACCAGAAAAAGGAAGGAUGUGCAAACCACACAUGUCUGCUCUGGGCUCACCCCAAACCUGGGCAUCUUUUACUGCACGUGAACACUUCCUCCGAGAAUCCCUCAGACACUUACCCCCAGCUGCUGCUGCUGAUAGGACCGUGCCCCUGCUUGUUGGCCUGUCUUGGCUUCACCUCGUAGCAGCAGAGGAAGCCGAGAUCACCCCACUGCACUCCAGUCUGGGCGACAGAGUGAGACUCCAUCUCAAAAACAAACAACAAAAAAAAAGAAUUGCUAGAAAAAUAAAAUUAAAAAAAGACAAACAAUAGAAACCUGAUUUUUUUUUUAAACUAGACUCAAUAAACAAAAACUUUCCCUGUCAAAUUCCUAUAGAAGUUUCUCAACAUUUCUCUCAACUCCUGGCCACCUCAUCGCAGGCUGGUAACACAGGCCAUGGCUAGGCCCCAGUACGCAGAUCCCACUUAGAGGAUCAUUGGUUUCAUUACUUGUGUUCCCACUAGACUUUGAGCUCUGGGGGGUGGGGGGAGGGUCACCUGCCCUAUUCACCACUAUGUCCCUAAGGCCUAGAAUGGUACCUGGCACAUAGUAGGUAUUCAAUGCAUUCUUAGUGAAUGACUCAAGUGGUUCAAUGAACAAGCAGCCAGUGACAAAGGAGGGCAUAUGGAAAGAGGGGUCCACGGGAUGUUUGGCCAGGUUGGUCACUGUUGGCCCAGUGGCAGGGUACAGGCUGUGAAGACUGCAAGCAUUCUGGGGACCCACAGGGGUGCAAGGACAACUCCUGCUGUCCAGGCUCGUGGCAGUCAGGAGAGGCCCAGGGCAGUGGCCGCUGCCCAGGCAGAAGCCACCCCUUAUCUCAGGACAGCUCAGCAUGGGCUGUGCCCCUGUUCUGCCUGGCAGCCCCUCUGAUCUCUAACCAGAUUCCCUGUGAGGGCCCUGGAUGGAAAUUCCGACAGGGCCCAUUGAUGGGGGUCCCUGGGUAGGGGGCAGGCACCUGAGGAGAGAUGGAAAGUGACCCUGAGGAGGCAGGUUUCGGGGGGGGGGGUGGCCAGCUGUCCUCUGUCCUUGCUAGUGCAGGGCCCUAAGCAAUGUGCAACCUGGACUGGGUAUCAGAGCAAGGCCAGCAGGGACUAAUGCCUAAAAUAGAGACGGCCUCUGCGGGGGCUCAGGAACAGGAGAAAGACAGGAGGCAGCAAGUCAAGUCAGCCAGGCUUCCAAGGUUGGCCCCUGCCGUGUAAGACACCUGACUUCAAGAGAAAGCCACAGCGCAGAAAUUCGCCUUUCUGUGGACCUUUUAUAUAAAUGGACUCAUACGGACGGGCGCAGUGGCUCACGCCUGUAAUCCCAGCACUUUGAGAGGCUGAGCCGGGUGAAUCACGAAGUCAGGAGUUCGAGACCAGCCUGGCCAACAUGGUGAAACCCCAUCUCUACUAAAAAUACAAAAAUUAGCCAGGCAUGGUGGUGGGUUCCUGUAAUCCCAGCUACUCGGGAAGCCGAGGCACGAGAAUUGCUUGAACCCGGGAGGUGGAAGUUGCAGUGAGCUGAGAUCAUGCAUGCCACUGCACUCCACCCUGAGUGACAGAGUGAGAUUCCGUCUCAAAAAAUAAAUAAAUAAAAAUUGAAAAAGAAAAUGGACUCAUACAAUGCAGUCUGUUAUGUCUGGUUUCUUCCACUUAGCACGCUGCUUCCAAGGUCCACUCGUGUUUCCACAUGUAUCAAUACUUCAUCUCUUCUAAUUACUGAAUAACAUCCCAUUGUAUGGACAUACCACAUUUUAUUUAUCCAGCCACCAGUUAAUGUAUAUUUGGAUGAUUUCCAGUGUGAGAUUGUUAUGAAUAGCGCUACUAUAAACAUUCACGUACAUGUCUUUGUGUGGACUAAUGUUUUUAUUUGUCUUGGGUAGAUUCCUAGGAGUGGAAUAGCUAGGUUCUAUGGUGAAUUUAUGUUUAGCUUUUUUAUUUUCUUUCAGACAGGGCCAUGCUUUAUCACUCAGGCUGGAGUGCAGUGUUGCUAUCAUGGCUUACUCCAGUCUUGACCUCCCGGGCUCAAGUGAUCCUCCUACCUAGGACUACAGGACUCACCACCAUGCCUGGCUAAUUAAAAAAAAAUUUUUUUUGGCCAGGUGCGGUGGCGCACGCUGGUAAUCCCAGCACUUUGGGAGGCUGAGGCGGGUGGAAUCACAAGGUCAAGAGAUCGAGACCAUCCUGGCCAACAUGGUGAAACCCCAUCUCUACUAAAAAUACAAAAAUUAGCUGGGCGUGGUGGCGCGCACCUGUAAUCCCAACUACUCGGGAGGCUGAGGCAGAAGAAUCGCUUGAACCCAGGAGGCGGAGGUUGCAGUAAGCCGAGAUCAUGCCAUGGCACUCCAGCCUGGUGACAGAGCAAGACUUCGUCUCAAAAAAAAAGAAAAAAAAUUUGUAGAGAUGGGGUCUCCACAUGUUGCCCAGGUUGGUCUGAACUCCUGGGCUCAAGCAAACCUCCUGCUUCAGCCUCCCAAAGUGCUAGGAUUACAGGCGUGAGCCACAGUGCCCAGGCAGUUUUAGCUUUCUACUGAAACUGCCAGAUUGUUUUCCAAAAUGGUUGUACUGUUUAUACAUUUCCACCAAUAAUAUAAUAUGAGGAUUCUAGUUUCUCCACAUCCCUGCCAACACUUCUUAUUUAAAAUUGUGAUCCAGGUUGGGCAUGAUGGCUUAUGCCUGUAAUCCUACCACUUUUGGAGGCCGAGGCAGGCAGAUCACUUGAGGUCAGGAGUUUGAGACCAGCCUGAUUAACAUGGCGAAACCCUGUCUCUACUAAAAAAAAAAAAAAAAAAAAAAAAUUAGCUGGGUGUGGUGGUGCAUUCCUGUAUUCCCAGCUACUCAGGAGGCUGAGGCAGGAGAAUUGCUUGAAUCUGGGAGGCGGAGGUUGCAGUGAGCCGAGAUCACACCACUGCACUCCAGCCUGAGUGACAGCAAGACUCCGUCUCAAAAAAAAUAAAAUAAAUAAAAUAAAACAAAAUAAAAUUGUGAUCCAGCAUUCUCAUUUCUGGGUAUUUACCCAAAAGAUUUGAAAUCAGUAUGUCAAAGAGAUGUCUGUGCUCCCAUUUUCACUGCAGCACUAUUUACACUAGCCAAAUUAUGGAACCAAUCUAAAUGUCCAUCAAUAGAUGAACAAAUAAAGAAAAUGUAACAUAUAUCCACAAUGGAAUUUUAGUCUUAAAAAAGGAAAGAAAUUCUCUCAUUAACAACAACAUGGAUGAAAUUGGAAGACAUGGGCAGGACGCAGUGGCUCAUGCCUGUAAUCCCAGCACUUUGGGAGGCAGAGGCGGGUGGAUCACCUGAGGUCAGGAGUUUGAGACCAGCCUGGCCAACAUGGUGAAACCCUGUCUCUACUAAAGAUACAAAAAAAUUAGCCAUGGUGGUGGGUGCCUGUAAUCCCAGCUACUUAGGAGGCUGAGGUAGGAUAAUCACUUCCGGGAGGUGGAGGUUGCAGUGAGCCGAGAUCAUGCCAUUGCACUCUAGCCUGGGGAACAAGUCUCAAAAAAAAAGAAAUCAGAAGACAUGACGUUAAGUGUAAUAAGCCACACACAGAAAAACAAAUACCACGUGAUCUUACUUAUGUAUGUGUGAUGGUUGAUACUGAGUGUCAACUUGAUUGGAUUGAAGGAUGCAAAGUACUGAUCCUGGGUGUGUCUGUGAGGGUGUUGCCAAAGGAGAUUAACAUUUGAGUCAGUGGGCUGGGAAAGGCAGACCCACCCUUAAUCUGGGUGGCCACCAUCUAAUUGGCUGCCAGUGUGGCUAGAAUAUAAAGCACGCAGAAAAAUAUGAAAAGACUAGACUGGCCCAGCCUUCCAGCCUACAUCUUUCUCUCAUGCUGGAUGCUUCCUGCCCUCAAACAUUGGACUCCAAGUUCUUCAGUUUUGGAACUCCAACUGGCUCUUCUUCUUCCUAAGCCUGCAGAAGGCCUACUGCGGGACCUUGUGAUUAUGUGAGUUAAUAUUUAAUAAUCUCCCUGAUAUAUAUAUAUAUA